AUCCAUCUGACAAGUCUCAAAUAGGACAAAACACGUGUCGUGGAU
rnacentral:hammerhead_ribozyme from 1 species